GCCCUGCAGUGGCCUUCCCAAGUCUUGGAAAAAAAAAAACCCAAAACACUCACAUAAAGUUAAUUUUCCCCCCAAAGAAGCCUUUUUUUUUUCAAUUUCCAGAAUAUAGAUUUAGGUAACUUGGGUACUUAGCAAGAAACAAACAGUAACACUGAACAUUUUAGAAUCUUUUGAUUGGAUUUCUGAUAUUUCUGUAUAAAAUCACAAAACAAUUGGUAACAUCUAUUCCUUUAUUAUCUUGAAAAUAAUGUAUCAAACAUGUCUCACAUUAAUAUGCUUGCUGAACAGCUGCAAACUGGGAACCUCACAAAUAGUCUGCAUAUUUAAAGGAUAAUAACCAGUUUUCCUUAGUAGUCAGAGGCUUUUUUUUUCUGUCUUCUCAUUAUUAUCAUUUUUUGUUACAGAUUAACAUGGAAAGCAAAAUCUUUAUAAGACUAUAGCUGACUGUUAUGUUACUGCUUAGUUAAUUUCAUGUUUUAAAUGUUAGUAAAUGCGCCACCCUGUGGUCCCUUUAAGUCGAUAUUUUGUGACAGUAGAAGAAGAGUUAGACAGGAAGUUCAUGUUUGCUUGCGAUGCUGCUUCAAGAUGGCUGCUCCACAUUCGUGUCCUUCUUUGGGUGUUUGUUAAAGCAUUGUCUGUAAGUACUCAAUGGUAAAGCAACGAGGCAUUCAAAGUGCUGUCUUUAUGUGUGAUGGACCACAGUUAGCAAGUUUUCUAUGUGCUAUUCAUAUGUAAAUGAGAUCGCCAGUUCAUAUGCUAAUUAACGGUGCUAAUCGUCAUGUUAGCUCUUCGAAUGCAUUGUUAGAUCAUUGGCACAUGUUGUUGUUAACAGUACAGAUUAUUAAUGUACAUUUCCACAUAUGUUUUAUUGUUACAAUCUCACAAAAUGAAAGAACCAGUAAACUUCUCAAGAUCUCAUCUAUUGUCUGGAGUUCCUGGGUUCAUGUUUAGCUGUGUGGAUAGCUAGUCAGACUUUUAGCGAGGCCAUUUACACUGACAGUUAUUCAGCACAUACUACUCCCCUUGGACUAAACACCAGAAACCUCCCGGUGUCAAAAAUGUUAAGACCAGCCUAAAUAUCCUACACAAUCAUAUACAGACUCUGUUUACAGAGGUUAGCAUUAUUGGGCACUAAGUAAUUUAUACUGGCAGUGACUCAAAUCAAGGGCGUGGAAUCAUAGUCUUCAAAUAUUCCCAG
ensembl:lncRNA